CCAGAUGGAAUAUAUAAAUUUAAUACAAGGUUAUAGAUAAGAGGAUCAGUAGUAAUUAAAGUAGACAUAAUCUUUUUAUCUUUUUUGUGAAGAGAUUUUUGUAUUACUUCAUUCUUUCUUAGUUUUCACCUAAAAUUAUAUUUUUUACACCUUUCCAACCAAAACCAUGUCCUAAUCCUACUAGCCCUUGAGAAGUGUUUCCUAGUUUUGCUAAUUUG
rnacentral:lncRNA from 1 species